GGCUCAGGACGAACGCUGGCGGCGUGCUUAACACAUGCAAGUCGAACGAUGAUGCCCAGCUUGCUGGGUGGAUUAGUGGCGAACGGGUGAGUAACACGUGAGUAACCUGCCCUUGACUUCGGGAUAACUCCGGGAAACCGGGGCUAAUACCGGAUAUGAGCUACCUUCGCAUGGGGGUGGUUGGAAAGUUUUUCGGUCAAGGAUGGGCUCGCGGCCUAUCAGCUUGUUGGUGGGGUGAUGGCCUACCAAGGCGACGACGGGUAGCCGGCCUGAGAGGGCGACCGGCCACACUGGGACUGAGACACGGCCCAGACUCCUACGGGAGGCAGCAGUGGGGAAUAUUGCACAAUGGGCGAAAGCCUGAUGCAGCGACGCCGCGUGAGGGAUGAAGGCCUUCGGGUUGUAAACCUCUUUCAGCAGGGAAGAAGCGCAAGUGACGGUACCUGCAGAAGAAGCGCCGGCUAACUACGUGCCAGCAGCCGCGGUAAUACGUAGGGCGCAAGCGUUGUCCGGAAUUAUUGGGCGUAAAGAGCUCGUAGGCGGUUUGUCGCGUCUGGUGUGAAAUCUCGAGGCUCAACCUCGAGCUUGCAUCGGGUACGGGCAGACUAGAGUGCGGUAGGGGAGACUGGAAUUCCUGGUGUAGCGGUGGAAUGCGCAGAUAUCAGGAGGAACACCGAUGGCGAAGGCAGGUCUCUGGGCCGCAACUGACGCUGAGGAGCGAAAGCAUGGGGAGCGAACAGGAUUAGAUACCCUGGUAGUCCAUGCCGUAAACGUUGGGCACUAGGUGUGGGGCUCAUUCCACGAGUU
rnacentral:rRNA from 1 species